GGGGGGGCUGACGGUCGGAGACAGAUGCUUGGGAAAGUCUGGGUAAAGCGCUAAUCCAGGAAAUCAUGCUGGAAACAGGGUACAAUGUAGAUGAUGUAAACUACGUUUUGCAAUGUGGCUUGUAGCCAGUUUGCUGAGUUGCAUCGCAUUGCUGGAGGCGCGACUCUGAUGGCACAUUGUGCUCGAGAAAGAGAUCGCGAGGCCAUCGAGUCACUGAAUAAAGUGAGGGAAAAACUUUCGUCUAUAUGCCUUCGGUAUGACGAUGUGCUUCCUUUUUCUAAGGUUAAAGAGGCAGGUGAUGGUAGUGUGUUGUCUGGACGUAUGGAAGGGAGUUGGUGAACCUAGCGCAGGGCGACGACGAACUAGGAUUGGACAGUGUGGACUAGGAGGUAUGCAGAUGUUGUCUGUCAUAGAUGUGUCCAUGUGCUCAUGUUUGUGGAUGAUUGCCAGUGCGCUUUUUUGCACUGGUUUUAGUCUGUUCGUAGGUGUGUUAGAUUCAGCCGACUUAAGGGAGGAUGCAGGUGUGUUUUGGGGCUGAUGGUCGGCUGUGGCAGGUGUGUUGGUGUGUCGUUUAAUACACGUGUUUAGUCGCGUGAGGUGUGCUUUUGCUGUUCUGUAAUUAGGACGAUGUAUCGCUUUAUGUGGAAGCUGAUGCAUGGUUUAUGUGGCUUUGUGAUUUUCUGCACGCCCUUUUGUGUAUUGUAUCACUGUAUGUAUGCGAGGUAUGGCAGAACAAACUGUAGGUCAACGUGGUUUGGUAUUUUUCUUGAUUUAGAGGGAACUCAGAGUAGUUA